UCGGCCUCCCAAAGCGCUGGGAUUACAGGUGUGAGCCACCAUGCUUGUCCAAGUUUCUUAAUACAAGGUAAAUUAUGAUACUCCAGAUGACUAUGGAGUCAAGAGAUCCUUAUAUCUGCACCUGUCUGGCCCCGGCUCCAUUAAGGAAGGAAGUGCUAUAUGAAGAAGUCAUUCCCUAAAAUCUGUGUUCAGACACUCUGUGGACAGACUUCUCAAAGGAGGACGGGGUGCGGCAGCAAGGACUGAGACUCAGGAUCAACCAGAACACCUUGAGGAUUGUGACCCUGUGACCAUAUGUACUUGCCAUCCAUUCCUGCUAGCAUCUUUGAAAUACGAAGCAACAAAAUGACCAGGAAGUUUGAGAAAUGAAUCCUUAGUAAA